AGGAUAAACGCUGGCGGCGUGCCUAAUGCGUGCAAGUCGCACGGAGCCAUCCUUCGGGGUGGUUGAGUGGCGAACGGGUGAGUAACGCGUGGACGACCUACCCCGGCGCGGGGGAUACCCGCCAGAAAUGGCGGCUAAUACCGCGUACGGUCCCUUGGGUGUAGCCCGGGGGAAGAAAGCAGCGAUGCGCGCUGGGAGGGGUCUGCGUCCGAUUAGCUAGUUGGCGGGGUGACGGCCCACCAAGGCGGUGAUCGGUAGCGGGUCUGAGAGGAUGAUCCGCCACACGGGGACUGAGACACGGCCCCGACUCCUACGGGAGGCAGCAGCAAGGAAUUUUCCGCAAUGGGGGCAACCCUGACGGAGCAACGCCGCGUGCGGGACGACGCCUUUCGGGGUGUAAACCGCUUUUGCCGAGGGAGAGAACGGACGGUACUCGGCGAAUAAGGGCCGGCUAACUACGUGCCAGCAGCCGC
rnacentral:rRNA from 1 species